AACGAACGCUGGCGGCAGGCCUAACACAUGCAAGUCGAACGGGAUCUUCGGAUCUAGUGGCGGACGGGUGAGUAACGCGUGGGAACGUGCCCUUUGGUCGGAAUAGCCCCGGGAAACUGGGAGUAAUACCGGAUAAGCUCUACGGAGGAAAGAUUUAUCGCCGAAGGAUCGGCCCGCGUUGGAUUAGGUAGUUGGUGAGGUAAUGGCUCCACAAGCCGACGAUCCAUAGCUGGUUUGAGAGGAUGAUCAGCCACACUGGGACUGAGACACGGCCCAGCCUCCUACGGGAGGAAACUAUGGGGAGUCUUAGACAGUGGGGGAAACCCUGCUCUAGCCAUGCCGCGUGAUCGAUGAAGGCCUUAGGGUUGUAAAGAUCUAUCAGUGGGGAAGAUAAUGACUGUACCCACGGAAGAAGCCCCGGCUAACUCCGUGCCAGCCGCCGCCGUAA
rnacentral:rRNA from 1 species